UGUAAGCGUAUACAAAGUUGUUGCAGUUAAAACGCUCGUAGUCGGAAUUUGGCAGUUCCGGAUGUGUGCACGUCGUGUGCGCACUUCGCGGGGAUUGCUUUUGUGGUCUUGCGUAGGAUGAGGCACUUUUAUUAGUGAACGUCCUCACGCAACCACUUUUUACUGUGAGAAAAUCAGAGUGCUCAAAGCAGGCAUUUGCCGUGAAUGUAUUAGCAUGGAAUAAUAGAAUAGGACUUGGUUCUAUUUUGUUGGUUUGUUGGGACUGAGUAAUGAUUAAGAGGGACAGUUGGGGGCAUUUGUAUUUCGGUGCUAGAGGUGAAAUUCUUAGAUUACCGAAAGACAAACUGCUGCGAAAGCGUCUGCCAAGGAUGUUUUCAUUGA
rnacentral:rRNA from 1 species